UUUCAUGGAGCAAAAUGUUUUCAAGGUUCAUGAAUAUUUUUGAUUAUAUUAGUAAUUCAUUCCUUUUUAUGGACAAAACAUAAUCCAUUGUAUGGAACUUAUAGCAUUUUGUUUAUUUAUUAAUCAGUUGCACAUUUGGGCUGUUUCCACAUUUGAAUGAUAAUAAAUCAUGCUGUUGACAUUCAUAUGUGAGGUUUUGUGUAAACAUGCAUUCAAUUACAUUGGUUAUGUAUCUAGGUGUGGAAGUCAAACAGCAUCUCUGUGUUUAAAUUUUAAAGAACUGUCAGACGGUUUUUCAAAAAUGGUGGUACAAUUUGACAAUCCCGUAGCAAUGUAUGAGGGCUCAAAUCCUCUACCUUCACCAUCAUUUGAUAUUAGCUGUCGGUUUAAAUUUCAGUCACCUAAAGGGUUAUCAAGUGGUAUUGCAUUGUAGUUUUGAUUUACGCUUACAUUAUGGCUGAUAAGUUGAACAGUACUCAAUACAUAGUAUCAUUGUGUAAUUAAUAAAACAUGUUACUAUUUCUUUAGCCAUCAAUUGGUCAUUGAUAGUGGAGUUACCUCCUCUCUUUAUUAAACUUUAUUUUGCUUUGAUCAUUAUUUGUUGAGCAUCUGUGGGUCUCUCUUUGGCCUGAGUGAUUUGGAAAGUUACUGCAUGAAGAGUUGAACAUUAUUAUUGCAUAGGACAAAGAAUUUGGCAGAUGGCAAAUUAUAGCCCCUUGUGAUACAGGAUCAGCAUCUAGGAGGCUGGGCCAUACAGAUUCCAAAAGCAGAGAAGGAUGUGUCCUGGGGAGGAUGGGGAGGAAGUUGGAGAAGUUUGGGGAGGUGAUAUAGCAUCACAGAGCCUUCACUAAGCUAAGGCUCCAGGAGAAUGUGCCCCAGCACAGCCAUGCAUGCCAACCCAAGGGCACUGGUGAAGAUGGGGCAGAGAUGGGAGUAUGUGGGAGUAGUGAGGGGCGGUUGGGCUGGUGUAUGUAUGUAUUUCCUCCUCUGGACUAGAGGGGCAUGUUGUCUGUAGACAGAGGGUCCUCUUUGGAGGAAGGACAAAGGCAACUUGUGCCAUUGGCUCUUCCUAUGUGAUGCAGAUAAACCUGAAUUAACAGUGGGAUAAAUUCAGCAGCCUCUUAAACAUAUUCCUUGCUUGCAGUUUUAAUCACUGCUAUUCCCUCUUUGCACUGCAGCUAGAAAUAUUCUUGUAAAACAAAGAUCUGCUUUUGACACUAUUCUGUUUAAAGACCUUCAAGAACUUCUUUUCAUUGACAACAUAAAUCCUAAACUCUGUAGAAUAGUCAUGCUGCCCUUUGUCCAUAUCCUUUCCUCUUGCCACUAUUACAUUCAAUGGCGUCUUGCAUCACUGGGACUUUGCAAAUGUCCCCUCUGCUUGGAAACUUCUCUCUUUUCUCCUUUCCACUGACAGGCGGCCUUCUAUGGCAAGAAUUCCUCUCCAAUCUAAAGUUCUCAGCUUAACCUGAAACCUCCCCCAGGAAACUGGAUUCCCUAAUCUCUACCAUGUGUGCUAUAGCUCCAGUUCACCUUUUCCCUAUCCCUCCAUCAUGUGUAAGCUAUAUUAUUGUCUGCAUCCUGUAGGGUCUGUAAACUCUAGGAGGAUCUAAAUGGCUAUACCAUUCCAAAGGGGGAUUCUCCUUAGCAACAUCAGCCUCAGCUGAGAGAUUUUUUAGAAAUGGCAAUUCUUGGGCCUCACUGCAGAUCUACUGUAUUAGAAUCUCUCAAGAUGGGACUCAGGAAUCAAUGAGAAGCAACAAACUUUGAGAAGCACCAAGGUCCCUGGCUGCUGGCGAAUGGUCAGUGAAUGAACAACUGUGUCAGUCCUGACUAUGCUAUUAAUUGGCUGUGACAUCUUUACAGUUGUGUAGCUUCUUAUGUCUUAUGCUUCUCAUCUGCUUUGUGCUAACCACUUCUCACAGAUACAGGAGCAAACGUGGAUUUUAAAAAAAAUAUUGUUAUAGUAUCUGACAAUUAAUCGGUUUCUUCUUUCAUGUUACUUCAUUCUUAUUUGUGCUUGACUGUUUUCCAGUGUGGCCUUCAAGCCUUCAGCCUGUUUUGAGACCCUUCCACAGCCAUAUUUGGGACUUCCCUACUUGUGUGCACAGAUCCAAAAAAGAAUAAAUACAAUGGAACUGAGAGGAGAAUUUGCAGAUGCAUUGGAUCAGGGACUUAUCUGAUUAUGUGGGUUGAUCAACAUAUGUUAAUAGAUGUCAGCACAUCAGAGAGUUUUCUUUCCAAGUCUCAAGGCUACAGUCUAGGUGGACGCAAUACCUUUAUUUUAUUUUUAUGUGGUGCUGAGGAUUGAACCCAGUGCCUCAUGAAUGCCAGAACCCAGCCACCAUGUUGUGAGGAAGCCCAAGCCAUGUGAAGAGGGUCCAUGUAGGUGUUCAACUGAUGUUCCAACUGACAGCGGGGUGAGACAUGCAAACGAGACACUGAACUGUCCCUAAUGAUGACAAGUACAGCUGGAGUAAGCUUGCCCUGGCAAAACUGCAGAUUCAUGAAGAAAAUUUGAAUGGAGGUGUGUGAAUCCACAAUUGUGCCCUGGAAGAAACCAGUCUUAAAAAUGAAGCCAAUAAAGAAGAAUGACUUUAUGGCAUUAGCAGGUUACAAAUGGCUAAAUUGUUUCUCUCUCAUGUGAAGGACCAUGCAAUGAAAUCUUUGCAACCACUCCAAACCGGUCCUAAAAUAGAAAAUGUUGAAAGUGAGACCUGAGGGUGAUCCAUUCUCCACAACACAGAUUUCAUGAGGUUAUUUGACAGCACUCUUGUAGCAGGAGAGGGAAUAUGUGGGAUUUCCUUGGUCUUUUGAAUGAGGAGUAGCAUAGGAAAAGAGAUUGGGCUCUUCUUUUCUCUGGUAGUGUUCUUUGCUUAUAUUGCAGGGAUUUAAUGUCAAAUGGUGAAAAUGAAAUUAGUUUUCAGUCUUAGUUAGGUAAUUAUUUUUCUGAACUACCAGAAGAAAUGGAC